AGCGUUUCUUAUGAUACAGCAGCAACAGGGGUAAAAUAGAGAGAAAGUAGUGCCUGUGGAUGUAGAGAAGAAGUAAUGAUGAAGAAGACAGAGAGAAGAGAAUUGCAGUGAGCCAUUAAUAACCAGGGAGCGGAUGGUGUGGAUAAAUCACAGUGGGUCUGUAGUGGGAAAGCUUGGUUAAAGGGGCAGUGGGUGGAGGGACGAUGUUCACACUGCAGAUCUAUUUGCUCAUCAUCAUCAUCAUCAUCUCUCAGCUCUUUGGCAAACACUUUGACUAGGAGCCCCUGUGCUUUAACUUCACAUUACGCCCCACUGAAUCAACACGCUGUUUAAGUUACACCUCCUUCCCUUCUUUCUCCAGGACUCCCCACAAUAAGCCCUGAACAGCCACCAAGAAGAAUGUGCUCCAUCACCCCCUCCGACAAAGAAUGUGCUUCUAUCUAACUGCCACUGCAAACGCUCUCCAUCCCAGCUCCUGUGCACAGCUGCCUGCAGUCCAGGAGAGCCGGGGGGUGCCGGCGGCGGCGGCGGCAGCAGCUCUCCAUCUUCAGCACUGCCUCUGAAUUAAUCACCUUGCAUUGAAUGAAGCUUUGAGGUCCUUCGCUUGACGCAGUGAGGAAACUGCUGCGGCUCUUUUCUCAGGCCAGCCAUUGGAUCUGUCUAUAGAAGGCAGCAAGCCCUUCUCCAACCUGUGCUGGAAUUCACCGCUGUCCUGAAGAGACCUGAUCGCCAAGGCAAGAGGAGCCCCAAUGUGUCAGGCAAGAGGGAUCCUGUGACUGUUGUGUGAUUCCGGUUGUCCCGGGUGAAUUGGUGAAGCUGGCGAUGUCCUGAAGGUGGCAGAGGAGGUUUCAGCACCAUCGGAUGGUGGACAGCUCCCGGCUCCACUAGGGAUCGCAGCCCGGAGUCGUGAAUUCCAUCCCCGGAGCUGUCCAGCAACGUCUCUCCCCAUGACAUGCACUGCAAGAAGCUUUCCCCUCGCCUAUCCUCAGCUGGACUUUAAUCAGAUAAUGUCAAGUGAUUUGGAGGGCCUGUUAGCAAAUGAAAGGAAAGAAACAGGAUAAAAAGUUUGCAUUCUGGAUUUGGAGUUUGAUCUGAGAAGGCUCUUAGGCUGUAGACUUCUCAACGCAACAACAGGCCCUUAAAUGAAGACUUUUAUAACUGCCACAAGGAAACAUAAUUAAAAACUCAAGUACAAGUUUGUAAUAUCCGCUAAAAGAGCAACAUA